GUGGGGAAUCUUCCGCAAUGGACGAAAGUCUGACGGAGCGACGCCGCGUGAGUGAAGAAGGCCUUCGGGUCGUAAAGCUCUGUCAUCAGGGACGAACGGCCGGUGGAGUGGAAAGCCACCGGAUUGACGGUACCUGAGAAGGAAGCCACGGCUAACUACGUGCCAGCAGCCGCGGUAAUACGUAGGUGGCAAGCGUUGUCCGGAAUUAUUGGGCUUAAAGCGCGCGCAGGUGGGAUCUUAGGUCCAUUUUUAAAGUUCGGAGCUCAACUCCGUGAUGGGAUGGAAACUGGGAUUCUUGAGUACCGGAGAGGAAAGCGGAAUUCCCCGUGUAGCGGUGAAAUGCGUAGAUAUGGGGAGGAACACCAGUGGCGAAGGCGGCUUUCUGGACGGUGUCUGACACUGAGGCGCGAAAGCCAGGGGAGCGAACGGGAUUAGAAACCCGAGUAGUCC
rnacentral:rRNA from 1 species